rnacentral:rRNA from 1 species
AUACGUAGGGGACAAGCGUUGUCCGGAAUCACUGGGCGUAAAGGGCGCGUAGGCGGUUUUAUAAGUCAGAUGUGAAAGGUACCGGCUCAACCGGUGACGUGCAUUUGAAACUGUAAGACUUGAGUACUGGAGAGGCAAGUGGAAUUCCUAGUGUAGCGGUGAAAUGCGUAGAUAUUAGGAGGAACACCGGUGGCGAAGGCGGCUUGCUGGACAGAUACUGACGCUGAGGUGCGAAAGCGUGGGGAGCGAACAGGAUUAGAUACCCUGGUAGUCCACGCCGUAAACGAUGAUGACUAGGUGUUGGGGAAACUCAGUGCCGCAGUUAACACAUUAAGUCAUCCGCCUGGGGAGUACGACCGCAAGGUUGAAACUCAAAUGAAUUGACGGGG